rnacentral:rRNA from 1 species
GUGGGGAAUAUUGGGCAAUGGGCGAAAGCCUGACCCAGCAACGCCGCGUGAGGGAAGAAGGCCUUCGGGUUGUAAACCUCUGUCCUUGGUGACGAAGAAAGUGACGGUAGCCAAGGAGGAAGCCCCGGCUAACUACGUGCCAGCAGCCGCGGUAAUACGUAGGGGGCGAGCGUUGUCCGGAAUUACUGGGCGUAAAGGGUGCGUAGGUGGCCUUUUAAGUUGGAUGUGAAAUACCCGGGCUUAACUUGGGGGGUGCAUCUAAUACUGGGAGGCUAGAGUGCAGGAGAGGGAAGCGGAAUUCCUAGUGUAGCGGUGAAAUGCGUAGAUAUUAGGAAGAACACCGGUGGCGAAGGCGGCUUACUGGACAGAGACUGACGCUGAGGCGCGAAAGCGUGGGGAGCGAACAGGAUUAGAUACCCGAGUAGUCC